rnacentral:rRNA from 1 species
UGAGUUAUAUUGGUCAAUGGGCGAUAGCCUGACCCAGCCAAGUAGCGUGCAGGAUGACGGCCCUAUGGGUUGUAAACUGCUUUUAUACGGGGAUAAAGUGCGGUACGUGUACCGAGUUGUUUGUACCGUAUGAAUAAAGACCGGCUAAUUUCGUU